UAUUUUUUCUUGCUUUAGAAAAAGUAAGUGGUGCGGAUGGGGUUACCCCGCCAGGUUUCUUGUUUCCUGUCAAAGAACAAGUGGCGUGCAUGUGU
rfam:Synechococcus phage S-IOM18 genomic sequence.